AGUUAGUUAUAGUAUAUUAUAGUAUAUAUUAUUUUUGGGCUUAUUUAGAUGUAGUAUAAUUAGCAGCUGCCGCACGACACAGUGUUGGAAAAAAGUGCAAGUUUUCAAUGAUGGCGCCACUUCGUUUUCGUUUAAUGGUCUACGGCCAGGCUUUACACUUAACAUUGCCGUCGAGGAGUGUUAACAGCAGCUGGCGCUGUCUCGCGUUACCCACACGACGACCUCUGCUUGCGCUAAUUGGAUUCGAAUUGCACGAUUUAUGGGCAUCAAGCGGAGAGUUCGAGAACGAGUUCGAGUUCGAUGCAUUUAUUUUUAACACUUUGGGCCGGCCGCAUAAAUUGCAUAAUCGAUACGGGCAUAAAGUAACAGCCCGUAACAGAGCAACAGCUGUAGCUGUAGCUUUAGCUCUAACAGCAGCUGUUAGCUGUAAAUGUGUGCGUGUUGCCGAUGGCGUCAUCGUUGUCCACCAAACAGGAGCCAACGAACGGGAACGGGAACGGGAACCGAUUGGCCAUAUAUAGAGAACGAUCGAUGGAUCGAUCGAUCGAUUUAUCGUCAUCGUCAUCGCUGGCAAUUUGUUUGCAUUGUGCUUUGAUUAGCUGCCAAUUGAUUUUAUUUGUCGGCCUGCCGCUUUGUAUCAAUUUAAAUAACUGUCUGUCAUACAUACAAGUAGACGCAUUAUAAAACAAAAACUGAUCGCCAAUACACAAAUAUAUAUUUAUAUAUAUAUAUAUAUAUAUAUAACUGAAUCAUUGGCGCGAGUCGCGCACGCCACGCAAUUCGCCAUGCUCCAUGCUCAAGUCCAUUUGCCAGAUUGUAAACUAUUCAACUUUGAUUUUGUGUGUGUAGAAGCUGCCGCCUGCUGCCAGGCGACAUUGAAUGAAGUCAUGAGCCAAAAAUAAUGACAAACAGCAAUUAUAA